UAGUAGCACUGCCGGCAGUACAGCU
rnacentral:misc_RNA from 1 species